UUCCUACGGGACGCAGCAGUCGAGAAUCAUUCACAAUGGGGGAAACCCUGAUGGUGCGACGCCGCGUGGGGGAAUGAAGGUCUUCGGAUUGUAAACCCCUGUCAUGGGGGAGCAAAUUAAAAAGAUAGUACCACAAGAAGAAGAGACGGCUAACUCUGUGCCAGCAGCCGCGGGAAUACAGAGGUCUCAAGCGGUGUUCGGAAUCACUGGUCGUAAAGCGUGCGUAGGCUGGUUCGUAAGUCGUGUGUGAAAGGCGCGGGCUCAACCCGAGGACGGCACACGAU
rnacentral:rRNA from 1 species